rnacentral:rRNA from 1 species
AGCGAACGCUGGCGGCAGGCCUAACACAUGCAAGUCGAACGAAGUCUUCGGACUUAGUGGCGGACGGGUGAGCAACACGUGGGAACGUGCCUUUAGGUUCGGAAUAACUCAGGGAAACUUGUGCUAAUACCGAAUGUGCCCCUCGGGGGAAAGAUUUAUCGCCUUUAGAGCGGCCCGCGUCUGAUUAGCUUGUUGGUGAGGUAAAGGCUCACCAAGGCUACGAUCAGUAGCUGGUCUGAGAGGAUGACCAGCCACAUUGGGACUGAGACACGGCCCAAACUCCUACGGGAGGCAGCAGUGGGGAAUCUUGCGCAAUGGGCGAAAGCCUGACGCAGCCAUGCCGCGUGGAUGAUGAAGGUCUUAGGAUUGUAAAAUCCUUUCACCGGUGAAGGUAAUGACUGUAGCCGGAGAAGAAGCCCCGGCUAACUUCGUGCCAGCCGCCGCCGUAAUAC